CAAAGAUAUUUUGCUGGAGAUCUCUGCUUAUUGGAGGCCUUCCGAAGGCACAGAAUCUGUUUACACUAGUGUCCUUAAGGGGUGACAUGUUCAGGUACGUGCCAGUAAACCUCACGUUUGGCCCUGUGGAGUGCCCCUGAAAUUCAUAGUGGUGGAACUACGCUGAGUGUGGAGAAUGGGAGACAUCAAAUCAAUGUUAUUCAUUCAGGGUUCUAUUCUUCUGAAGAGAGACAAUAAGGCCUACACCUGCUAGUACUAUGAAGUUCUUCGUGAUCCCAGCAUGCAGCUCAGUGACUGACAUCAUAGGCUCAAGUGGUCUUGGAUUUUGUCCCAGUAUCAUGAAUGUUCAUUGGAAUAAAUAGAAUUAGUUUCAUCUCUCACAAUUCCAUUGGAAUCAGUGGAAAGAUACCAUGUUUUUGCACUGCUUCCUGAAGAACAAGACAAGGAAUCUGCACAGUUUGGAACCAACAGUGGUUCCCAACAGUUUGACACAUUUGUUCAAGUCAUGGCGAUGUGAGUUGAUAGGGCCAGUGUGUGUCAGAAAUCUGUACUUUCUCUGUUUUCCACAUAGAAAAAGGGUGCUCUCAUGACAUUUUCCAUUAUUACUAAACUUCUUAUUAAAAAAUGUUAGAACAAAAAAUACCUCAGAUGUUUCUGUUAGAGGUGCGGAUCAGUAGGGAUCUGAUCUGUAAUGUUAGCUUUGUUCCUCCUGAUCACUGCCAUCCCCCUUUCCCUUCCACCCCACCCAGAUGGCUGGGGCUGCACCGGAGAAAGGCAGAAGUCUGCUGAUCCCUCUUGCAACCCAGCUAAGGUGUGGUCCUUUACAAAGAGAAAAUAAAUUAACUCUUCAUAGGAUAAAGCAAACACUGUCUUAUCUUUUCUGAAGAGGCAGGCCUUUUUGUGGUUGGAAUGCUCUGAGCUGUAGAAAGUUGGUGAACUUCCAUCUGCAUGGCAGUAUGCCCCACAGUCACAGGUUGGUUGCUGGCCAUGAAUUCUACAUGCUCCUUGUUUCAUUGGGGAAUGCUGCACUUCCUCAGUCUGUGUGGUAGGUAGGAGACUCUCAAGGUGGGAGGAGGGUAGUGCUGAUGGAAGGUGAGAAGUGAUGUAUUAAAAUGAUCAUUUUAAAACCAAAUCAGAAAAACAUAAAGAGAACUUGAGACAAUGCC